rnacentral:lncRNA from 1 species
UUUUGGUCCCUUAAAUAUAUUUUAGGUUUCACAAUGGUCCCUUAAAGAAAAAAAAAGGUCAGGAUUGGUCCCUUAAAGACACAUUCGUUUCUCAAUUGGUCCUUUCCGUCAAUUUUUUGCAAAAAACGUUAGUUUUAGUAGACUGGAUUGUGGAUGUCAUUAAGUGUAAGUGAUCCACCAAAAACCUUAUUAAUUUUUAAAAUUUUAACCAUUGGAAUUUUUUGUUAUAUUUGGAGUUAAAAUUUAACGGAAAUGACCAAUAUGACAAAAAUAUAUGUCUUUAAGGGACCAAUCCGGACAUUUUUUUCUUUAAGGGACCAAUCCAGACCUUUUUUUCUUUAAGGGACCUUUGUAAAACCUAAAAUGUCUUUAAGGGACCAAUAGACUAAUUAAGCAAUUUUUUUUUUAUAUUCUAAGGAAAUUUUGUAGUAUUUUUUUUUGGUAGAAGGAAAUUUUGUAGUAUUAAUAAGAGAUAUAAUAAUAGAACAUACUAAAAUGUUUUUUUUUU